AUGGAUAACAAAAAGAAUCACGCGAAAUCAAAAGGGGAACCAGAAGUACUUACAGUGGCAGAGAAGAUGUUGGUGCGCCUAAAGCUGUGGGUUGUAGCUCCCGUAGGUGGUGGUGAAGUUACAGAGGGAGUACCCGUAUCUGAUGAUGGCAGUAAGCGGCGGGAGUAUCUCGGAAGCAGGUGGGAGUGUUUAUUCGGUUCGAUGAGUUCGGCGGAGGUACGUAGACGGAGGGUGAGUGUUGGUGGUUACGCGAAACAGAAGGCGUGUGGAUGUUGCGGUCGGUUGAGAGAAGAGGAAGAUGAGUGGUGGUGA